UACAGAGGUCCCAAGCGUUGUUCGGAUUCACUGGGCGUAAAGGGUGCGUAGGUGGUCAGGUAAGUCGGAUGUGAAAUCUCCGAGCUCAACUCGGAAACUGCAUUGGAAACUACCUGGCUCGAGGGUUGGAGGGGGGACUGGAAUGCUUGGUGUAGCAGUGAAAUGCGUAGAUAUCAAGCGGAACACCAGUGGCGAAGGCGAGUCCCUGGACAACUCCUGACACUGCUGCACGAAAGCUAGGGGAGCAAACAGG
rnacentral:rRNA from 1 species